rfam:Oryza meridionalis cultivar OR44 (W2112) chromosome 6, whole genome shotgun sequence.
UUUAACUGUAACCAUGAGUUUUCGUGCCUAAUUUUGAUCGUCCGUCUUAUUUAAAUUUUUUGUUAGUUAGUGUUUUUGUUGUUAUGAGAUGGUAAAAUAUGAAUAGUACUUUAUGCAUAACUUAUAUUUUUAAUUUUUGGAAAAAAUUUAUAAAUAAGACGGACGAUCAAAGUUUAGUAUAAAAACAUAACUACACUUAAA